rnacentral:lncRNA from 1 species
UCAACAAUCGAAUCUAAACAUAUAAACUACACAAAAUUCUACCAACAGAAUACUCAAACACAAGGAAAACUCACAAAACAAAAAAGAAUUCUCCCAUGCCAGAACACAAGCACAUUAAUCAACACACACCCACAUGCCAAGAAAAUUCAUUUUAACAGAAACAAAUGACUAAGCACAGAACACUCAAAACACAACAAACCUUCAAAGGCAA